UUCGCAAUGCCCGAAAGGGUGACGAUGCGACGCCGCGUGAGCGAAGAAGGCCCUAGGGUUGUAAAGCUCUGUCGAGGGUUAUGAAAUAUAGAUGGGUUAAUACCCCAUUUAUUUGACAAAAGCCCAGAAGGAAGCCACGGCUAACUCUGUGCCAGCAGCCGCGGUAAUACAGAGGUGGCGAGCGUUGUUCGGUAUUAUUGGGCGUAAAGAGCACGUAGGUGGUUUUGUAAGUCAGGUGUGAAAGCCUUCUGUUCAAAGGAAGAACGGCAUCUGAAACUGCAGAUCUUGAGUGUAGGAGGGGAGAGUGGAACUUCUGGUGGAGCGGUGAAAUGCGUAGAUAUCAGAAGGAACGUCGGCGGCGAAAGCGACUCUCUGGCCUAUUACUGACACUGAGGUGCGAAAGUUAGGGGAGCAAACGGGAUUAGAUACCCCGGUAGUCCUAACCGUAAACGAUGGGCACUAAGUAGAGGGGUUUU
rnacentral:rRNA from 1 species